UCGCGAGCCAGUUCGCGAUAGAGGAGGGACGAGUCAGGGUGAGAAGCCUGCGACGCGGCUACGCGGAGUCCCAAACGGCUGUAGUCAGCUUGCCUGUUUCCCUGGGCAAAGCUGUAAUACAGCGGGGACAGGUGCGGAUCGGCUGGACAGUCUGCAGGAUCCGAGAGAGAGAAGGACUUCCGAGGUGCUACAGAUGCCUGGAACCGGGGCACAUCGCGAGCAGCUGCAGGAGCACAACGGAUAGGAGUGGCUGCUGCAUCAAAUGCGGCGAGCAGGGGCACAAAGCCGCAGUCUGCACAAACGAGCCAUCAUGCUUCAUUUGCUCGGCAGCGGGAAAGAAGGAGUCCAGGCACCAGGCCGGCAGCAAAAGCUGCACGGCCGCGUUCAGCAGGGUCGGUCAACGCAGCAAGACAUGCGGUUGAUCCAGCUCAACCUGAAUCACUGCAGGGCCGCGCAGGACCUCCUGCAACAGACGGUGCGUGAGCGGGGAUCGGAGGUGGCAAUCCUCAGCGAGCCCUAUAGGGCUCCCAGCUGCAGCAACUGGGCCACAGACCGCUCGGGCAGAGCUGCGUUGUGGACAUGCGGAGUGGAGACGCCCCAGAUCGGCGACAUAAAGUCGGCCGAGGGGUUCGUUCGAGGCAAAGUAGGCGGGAUGUGGGUCUAUAGUUGCUACCUGGCGCCCAGCCUCCCGCUGGAGACCUUCAGCCGCAUCAUAGACGAGCUGAUCGGAGACCUGCGAGGACGAAGCGACGUCAUGGUCGGGGGCGACUUCAAUGCCUGGGCCCAGGAGUGGGGGUCCUCCCGAACCAACGCUAGAGGACGCACGGUGCUGGAGGCCUUCGCCACCUUGGACAUGGUGCUGCUCAAUGAAGGACUCCAACAAACGUUCAGCAGGGGAGGCAUGGGGUCAGUCAUCGACCUCAAAUUCGCCAGCAGAGCGUUGGCCAGAACCGCUUGUUGGAAAAUCAGCAACGCCUACACCGCUAGCGACCACGAGGCCAUCGAGUGCGUGUUUGGCGAACCGGACCCAGGAAGAGCAGCCCCUACUCAGACCCAGAAUAGGAAGGCGUAUCGGCAGGCCACGCUGAGGACACAG
rnacentral:lncRNA from 1 species